UACAGAGGUCUCAAGCGUUGUUCGGAUUCAUUGGGCGUAAAGGGUGCGUAGGCGGCGCGGUAAGUCGGGUGUGAAAUCUCGGAGCUUAACUCCGAAACUGCAUUCGAUACUGCCGUGCUUGAGGACUGGAGAGGAGACUGGAAUUUACGGUGUAGCGGUGAAAUGCGUAGAUAUCUGGAGGAAUACCGGCGGCGAAGGCGGCAUCCUGGACCGACAUUGACGCUGAUGAGCGAAAGCGUGGGGAGCAAACGGG
rnacentral:rRNA from 1 species